UAGUCUACGCCGUAAACGAUGGAUACUAGCUGUGCGGCUUCGGCUGUGUGGCUAAGCGAAAGUGAUAAGUAUCCCACCUGGGGAGUACGUUCGCAAGAAUGAAACUCAAAGGAAUUGACGGGGGCCCGCACAAGCGGUGGAGCAUGUGGUUUAAUUCGAUGAUACGCGAGGAACCUUACCAGGGCUUAAAUGUAGAGUGACAGAUUUAGAGAUAGAUUUUUCUUCGGACACUUUACAAGGUGCUGCAUGGUUGUCGUCAGCUCGUGCCGUGAGGUGUCAGGUUAAGUCCUAUAACGAGCGCAACCCCUGUUGUUAGUUGCCAGCGAGUAAUGUCGGGAACUCUAGCAAGACUGCCGGUGCAAACCGCGAGGAAGGUGGGGAUGACGUCAAAUCAUCACGGCCCUUACGUCCUGGGCUACACACGUGCUACAAUGGUAGGGACAGAGAGCAGCCACUGGGCGACCAGGAGCGAAUCUAUAAACCCUAUCACAGUUCGGAUCGG
rnacentral:rRNA from 1 species